GACGAACCGAGCGAACGUUGUUCGGAAUCACUGGGCUUAAAGGGCGCGUAGGCGGGCGAUCAAGUCAGGGGUGAAAGCCCCCAGCUCAACUGGGGAAGUGCCUCUGAUACUGAUCGCCUCGAGGGGGAUAGGGGCGUGCGGAACUUCCGGUGGAGCGGUGAAAUGCGUAGAUAUCGGAAGGAACACCGGUGGCGAAAGCGGCGCGCUGGAUCCCUUCUGACGCUGAGGCGCGAAAGCCAGGGGAGCAAACGGG
rnacentral:rRNA from 1 species